GAUGAACGCUGGCGGCGUGCUUAACACAUGCAAGUCGAACGAUGAAGCCCAGCUUGCUGGGUGGAUUAGUGGCGAACGGGUGAGUAACACGUGAGUAACCUGCCCUUGACUCUGGGAUAAGCCUGGGAAACUGGGUCUAAUACUGGAUAUGACUUCUCAUCGCAUGGUGGGGGGUGGAAAGAUUUAUUGGUCUUGGACGGACUCGCGGCCUAUCAGCUUGUUGGUGAGGUAAUGGCUCACCAAGGCGACGACGGGUAGCCGGCCUGAGAGGGUGACCGGCCACACUGGGACUGAGACACGGCCCAGACUCCUACGGGAGGCAGCAGUGGGGAAUAUUGCACAAUGGGCGCAAGCCUGAUGCAGCGACGCCGCGUGAGGGAUGACGGCCUUCGGGUUGUAAACCUCUUUCAGUAGGGAAGAAGCGAGAGUGACGGUACCUGCAGAAGAAGCGCCGGCUAACUACGU
rnacentral:rRNA from 1 species